CCUUCGGGGUACUCGAGUGGCGAACGGGUGAGUAACACGUGGGUGAUCUGCCCUGCACUUUGGGAUAAGCCUGGGAAACUGGGUCUAAUACCGAAAGGACCAUGGCAUGCAUGUGCUGUGGUGGAAAGCUUUUGCGGUGUGGGAUGGGCCCGCGGCCUAUCAGCUUGUUGGUGGGGUGAUGGCCUACCAAGGCGACGACGGGUAGCCGGCCUGAGAGGGUGUCCGGCCACACUGGGACUGAGAUACGGCCCAGACUCCUACGGGAGGCAGCAGUGGGGAAUAUUGCACAAUGGGCGCAAGCCUGAUGCAGCGACGCCGCGUGAGGGAUGACGGCCUUCGGGUUGUAAACCUCUUUCGCCAGGGACGAAGCGCAAGUGACGGUACCUGGAGAAGAAGCACCGGCCAACUACGUGCCAGCAGCCGCGGUAAUACGUAGGGUGCGAGCGUUGUCCGGAAUUACUGGGCGUAAAGAGCUCGUAGGUGGUUUGUCGCGUUGUUCGUGAAAACUCACAGCUUAACUGUGGGCGUGCGGGCGAUACGGGCAGACUGGAGUACUGCAGGGGAGACUGGAAUUCCUGGUGUAGCGGUGGAAUGCGCAGAUAUCAGGAGGAACACCGGUGGCGAAGGCGGGUCUCUGGGCAGUAACUGACGCUGAGGAGCGAAAGCGUGGGGAGCGAACAGGAUUAGAUACCCUGGUAGUCCACGCCGUAAACGGUGGGUACUAGGUGUGGGUUUCCUUCCUUGGGAUCCGUGCCGUAGCUAACGCAUUAAGUACCCCGCCUGGGGAGUACGGCCGCAAGGCUAAAACUCAAAGGAAUUGACGGGGGCCCGCACAAGCGGCGGAGCAUGUGGAUUAAUUCGAUGCAACGCGAAGAACCUUACCUGGGUUUGACAUGCACAGGACGCCGGCAGAGAUGUCGGUUCCCUUGUGGCCUGUGUGCAGGUGGUGCAUGGCUGUCGUCAGCUCGUGUCGUGAGAUGUUGGGUUAAGUCCCGCAACGAGCGCAACCCUUGUCUCAUGUUGCCAGCACGUUAUGGUGGGGACUCGUGAGAGACUGCCGGGGUCAACUCGGAGGAAGGUGGGGAUGACGUCAAGUCAUCAUGCCCCUUAUGUCCAGGGCUUCACACCUGCUACAAUGGCCGGUACAAAGGGCUGCCAUGCCGUGAGGUGGAGCGAAUCCUUUCAAAGCCGGUCUCAGUUCGGAUCGGGGUCUGCAACUCGACCCCGUGAAGUCGGAGUCGCUAGUAAUCGCAGAUCAGCAACGCUGCGGUGAAUACGUUCCCGGGCCUUGUACACACCGCCCGUCACGUCAUGAAAGUCGGUAACACC
rnacentral:rRNA from 1 species